UACGGUAGGGGGCAAGCGUUGUCCGGAAUUAUUGGGCGUAAAGGAGCUCGUAGGCGGUCUGUCGCGUCUGGUGUGAAAACUCAAGGGCUUAACCCUGAGCUUGCAUCGGGUACGGGCAGACUAGAGUGCGGUAGGGGAGACUGGAAUUCCUGGUGGUAGCGGUGAAAUGCGCAGAUAUCAGGAGGAACACCGGUGGCGAAGGCGGGUCUCGUGGGCCGUAACUGGACCGCUGAGGAGCGAAAGCAUGGGGAGCGAACAGG
rnacentral:rRNA from 1 species